rnacentral:lncRNA from 1 species
CACUACUCGUUUCCUUCCUUUAUCGGUUUGUCGUGCAUAGGAUUCAUUCUUCUUCUAGAUAUAUUGUCUGGUCUUCUCAUGUAUAGCUUUAACAAGUUCUACUCUCCGUUGACCAUCGAUAUCUUGAAUUUCCUAUAAAGGUAAAGGCGUGAGGCCUAACGGAGUUAAAUGAUUAAAAUCAUAAAUAAUUUCAAAAAGUAAAA